GUUUAUAUUAAUGAGCUGAGUCAGGAUGGGGUCCAGUCACCAGAAAGACUAACCAUAUAAUUCAAGGACUGGGGCUUUGAGCCCAGUAAUGUCAUCCCAACCUCUGAGGAGUGGAAGGAUGCUGGAGAUUGAGUUCAUGUGCCCUGCGAUUCAGUCAAUCAUGCCUAGAUAAUGAAAUCCACAAAAAAACUAUGGACGGCGAAAUUUGGGUGAGGUUCUUUGGUUUCAAAGGUGUAGGGAGGGUAAUGCAUCACGAUUCCAUGGGGAGAAGACGUGGAAGCUCUGAUUCAGUAUCCUCCUAGUUCUAGCCCUAUGUGUCUCUUCAUUGAGCUGCUUCUGAAUCGUGUCCUUUACAAUAAAAUUAUAAUCAUAAGUUUAGUGCUAUUUUUGAGCCAUAUUUAUGAAGUGCAAAAGCAGGUAAAAAUAAUAUCUGGUGAUAUCUCAUAAUUGACUUGCCAAGUACAGGACUGAGAGACUUGAUUGCUGAAAAUGUUCCAUCUCUUUAUUGGGAUGGUGUAAAUAUGAGGGUAUGCAUAUGUUUAAAAAAAUCUGCA
rnacentral:lncRNA from 1 species